AGAGAAAGCGAUGAAAAUUAAAAAGUUCAAAAUUGAACAUAUUACUAGACCAUGCUGGGGAAGACUGGAGAGGAGAGGUUAAGUUCAAAACGACGGGACAACUCCAAACCCAUACAUGUUACUGCGAUCCACUUCGACUUCUAUGCCCGUACGCUUCGCGAACCUUCCUUUGAUUCUCGGCCUCAUCUCUGCGUAUGCUUUUCUGGAGGCGUAACGGAUCGUCUUCUCGAACUUCCUGUUCUUUCUCUUCUCUCUGUACCUCAGCACCCUUGCUUCUCUGUCCGCCGGUGAUAGCUGCACCGUCUGAUGUGUUGACUCAGGCCC
rnacentral:lncRNA from 1 species